rnacentral:rRNA from 1 species
GACGAACGCUGGCGGCGUGCUUAACACAUGCAAGUCGAACGAAGUGGCGAACGGGUGAGUAACGCGUAAUCAACCUGCCCUUCAGAGGGGGACAACAGUUGGAAACGACUGCUAAUACCGCAUACUGAAGGAGGGGAUUGCGUUCGAUUAGAUAGUUGGAGGGGUAAAGGCCCACCAAGGCGAUGAUCAGUAGCCGGUCUGAGAGGAUGAACGGCCACAUUGGGACUGAGACACGGCCCAGACUCCUACGGGAGGCAGCAGUGGGGAAUCUUCCGCAAUGGACGAAAGUCUGACGGAGCAACGCCGCGUGAGUGAUGACGGCCUUCGGGUUGUAAAGCUCUGUUAAUCGGGACGCGGUACCGGAAUAGAAAGCCACGGCUAACUACGUGCCAGCAGCCGCGGUAAUUC